AUACGUAGGUGGCAAGCGUUGUCCGGAUUUAUUGGGCGGUAAAGCGAGCGCAGGCGGUUUUUUAAGUUCUGAUGUGAAAGCCUUCGGCUUAACCGGAGAAGUGCAUCGGAAACUGGGAGACUUGAGUGCAGAAGAGGACAGUGGAACUCCCAUGUGUAGCGGUGGAAUGCGUAGAUAUAUGGAAGAACACCAGUGGCGAAGGCGGCUGUCUAGUCUGUAACUGACGCUGAGGCUCGAAAGCAUGGGUAGC
rnacentral:rRNA from 1 species